UUGGAAUGUGAAACGCAAGAAGUUAAAAUUUCUGGGUUAAGUUGAGAUCUGUUGAUAUUAAGAAAAAUGUCUAGAAGCAAAAGCAAGCUUUCGAUAAAACCCGAAGUUGUUUCGCUAAAGUGCAAGGAUUAAACAGGAUUGUAUUUUUCAGCAGCCUAUUUUAUAAACGAUCUGCAUUUAGUAAAUAGUUUUUAGUUAGGAAAUAAUGUAGAUUACUAAGUGUGAUGUCUGAGAGAAGGACAAGUAUUGUAGCGAGCUUAAAUCCUUAUUAUCGUUGCCAGUAUUUAGUGGUAGGGAUUCGGAUAAGAUUGCCAGUUAUAAGUUGGAGGAAGGCAAAGAUUGCAUUAAAUCGUUAUCGCUCGUUAUGUUUUAGGUUACAAGUUUG
rnacentral:misc_RNA from 1 species